GAUUUUGAUUCAUUACAAUUUUGCUCAUUUCGAUUGGGUAGCGCUAUUUAUAUGGUGCCUUUUUGAUUCCCUAUUUAUUAUUUGGGAAGAUCAAGUGUACAAAUGUUAGCUGAAGUAUUUGGAUGCUCUAGAUAGAAUUCAACCAGUGUUGUAUAGGACUAUAUAAAUAUUUUUCUGCACAUCAUAUAGAUCAGUAAGCGCACUGAGAUAU
rnacentral:sRNA from 1 species